CUGCACUUUGGUGGUUUGGACUUGCGCGUAUAUGACAGCCUUAUCACUGCGGAUAUAUCAGCAAAGACGGCCGGUACGAUGGCCGGAGAUAUAAAGGAGCAACCUCAACUGGUAUAUGCUCUGUAAAAGACCUCGACGUGAGCUCUUCGCAGUAUAACAUGGAGUUAAAAACCGCCAUCCCGUCAAAGGUGACGGCGCGGAUCAUGCAAACAGAAUGUACGCUCAAAUAUCGCAAGCGCCUGAUGAUUUCCCAAAUAAAAAAUAGAAGAGAAAAGCUAAACGAAAAAAGAACACUCUUUUGCGUAAAUAGCUAGAUAUGAUUUUUCAAUAAUCAUAUCAUAUGAUGGCGUGCAAGACAAUCGGGUAGAGAGGGUGAUGGUUUCCGUACAAGGUCGGGCAACUCUCGCGAGGUACAGCUCAGCAACCGCUAUAGUACAAGGGAAAGAUAUCAGAGUUUAUGCAACUGGUCUGGCAAUGCUAGAUUAUGAAUGAAAGGGG
rnacentral:sRNA from 2 species